rnacentral:lncRNA from 1 species
UGAUGGCAGAGCAAUUGUAAACCAAGCAGAUCUGCAUGACUCACUACAGCUCUCCCUGAGCUUGAUGGAUCUUUUAAAUUCUAACCCUAUUAUUUCUAACCAUCUACUUCAGACUGCUUCUGCCCAGGAUGAGCCAAUUCAGCUCUUCAUGGCAGACUACCUGGGGAGAGCUGGUCCACAACUCAGGUGUGCUCACACGCUGCAGUAGCACAAGCAUGAAACUGAUGGUCCUUUCCAGAGGCCAACCUCUACAUAAGCCUGACUCAGCAUAAUUCACAACACCAGGGCAGAAUUUCUCAAAGUCUUGUCUUGGAUGAUUCACAGUUAUAAAGAUGAGGUUCCUA